UACAGAGGUCUCAAGCGUUGUUCGGAUUCAUUGGGCGUAAAGGGUGCGUAGGUGGCGCGGUAAGUCGGGUGUGAAAUUUCGGAGCUUAACUCCGAAACUGCAUUCGAUACUGCCGUGCUUGAGGACUGGAGAGGAGACUGGAAUUACGGUGUAGCAGUGAAAUGCGUAGAGAUCGUAAGGAAGACCAGUGGCGAAGGCGGGUCUCUGGACAGUUCCUGACACUGAGGCACGAAGGCCAGGGGAGCAAACGGG
rnacentral:rRNA from 1 species